AGGCGUGGUUCAAUGGUAGAACAUCAGCCUUCCAAGCUGAAUACGUGGGUUCGAUUCCCAUCGCCUG
rnacentral:tRNA from 1 species